rnacentral:rRNA from 1 species
CCCUGGGUAGUCCACGCCGUAAACGGAUGUCGAUUUGGGAGGUUGUGCCCUUGAGGCGUGGCUUCCGGAGCUAACGCGUUAAAUCGACCGCCUGGGGAGUACGGCCGCAAGGUUAAAACUCAAAUGAAUUGACGGGGGCCCGCACAAGCGGUGGAGCAUGUGGUUUAAUUCGAUGCAACGCGAAGAACCUUACCUGGUCUUGACAUCCACAGAACUUUCCAGAGAUGGAUUGGUGCCUUCGGGAACUGUGAGACAGGUGCUGCAUGGCUGUCGUCAGCUCGUGUUGUGAAAUGUUGGGUUAAGUCCCGCAACGAGCGCAACCCUUAUCCUUUGUUGCCAGCGGUCCGGCCGGGAACUCAAAGGAGACUGCCAGUGAUAAACU